rnacentral:rRNA from 1 species
AGCAGCCGCGGUAAUUCCAGCUCCAAUAGCGUAUAUUAAAGUUGUUGCAGUUAAAAAGCUCGUAGUUGAACUUCGGGGUCUACCCAUUGGUCAGGCUUAAUUGUCUGCACUGGUGAGAUGGAUCUCUACCUUCUGAGGAACUUUCAUGCCAUUUAUUUGGUGUGAUUGGAAAUCAGGACUGUUACUUUGAAAAAAUUAGAGUGUUUAAAGCAGACUAUCGUCUGAAUACAUUAGCAUGGAAUAAUGAAAUAGGACGGACUGAUUCUAUUUCGUUGGUUUCUAGGAUCACCGUAAUGAUUAAUAGGGAUAGUUGGGGGCAUUAGUAUUCAAUUGUCAGAGGUGAAAUUCUUGGAUUUAUUGAAGACUAACUACUGCGAAAGCAUUUGCCAAGGAUGUUUUCAUUAAUCAAGAACGAAAGUUAGGGGAUCGAAGACGAUCAGAUACCGUCGUAGUCUUAACCAUAAACUAUGCCGACUAGGGAUCGGACGAAGUUAAUUUUAUAAUGACGCGUUCGGCACCUUACG